rnacentral:sRNA from 1 species
CCCUAGCCCCGAUAGAAGCGACAUCCUUUAUGUUUUUUCUUUAAAAACAUAAAGAUAUAGCGGAUAGCGGGAAAUAGC